CACAGUAAAAAAAUGGAGGGUCAGGAAAAAGUGGGGUCAAGGGAGGGCUGGGAGCUAUAUGAAUGUUUGUCCAAGUUGAGAGUGCACCCCACCAAUGAGAAUAACACAGAAGCUCCUGGAAGGCAAACGGGGUGCCUGGUUUAACUGCUCUGGUGUUGGCAUAAAUCCAAGGAGCUCAAAGAGAAAAAUAGGGGACUCACAUCAAUGCUCCCAGUAACAGCCCUGAAAAAGAAAGAUAACGAUGACCUGUGUGUUUGGAAGUCCAGAGGGACUGUUGGUGACAGAGCUCAUGGCUUCCCUGGGAGGACCAAGAACACAACCAAUCUUCCUCUGACAAGGUAGGAGUGGGCAGAGGAAGGCAUGAAGAAUGGCUGCAUUUCUACAUCUGAAGGUCAGAACACGAGAUCAAGCAAUGUGUCUUUGCCAUUUUAAAUCGGCAGACUUCGGACCCCCAGAAGAGGGCAAAACAAGAAACAAAGAACAAGAUGUCGGCUGUGUGCUGAAUAGAAGGGCACCUCGCAGGAUCCUGGCUUUCUGCUCCUCUUCCCACAUACAAACUUUCAAAUCCCGAAACAUUAUGUGGGUUGAAGGGAAUUGCUCUGCAGCACCUGAACUGUCAGCGUGGAAGUGGGUAGCUGAGGUGACUUGGCAGGACCUGCCUAUAAACACCGGUUAUCAGCUCAUUCACAAGGCUCAGCCAAAUAGAAGUGCAAGAUUUUGGCUUGGAUUCCACACUGAUGUUUCACAGAAAGUCAGCUCUUGUUCCAGGGCACCAGUAAAGAUUUCAACCCAUGUAUCUGCAGAAAAUUGCCAGAAACUGUCACAAAAUGAAAAAUGAGAGAAAGCCCGAUGGUCCUGCUAGGUUUCUAUAAGAAGUGUCAGCAGCCACAGUCCUAUACCAAGGAGGGGAGGAUGCAUAGGAGCAGCAGACCAGCACAGCGAGCCGGGGAGGAUUUGAAAACAAAGAGCCCAGCUAGAUACUGGCUUGCUUCUGAUUUUUACCUUGGGCUGACAAUUCUAAACAAUGUCAGUGAUAAAAUAUUCCUUCCCCAGGGCCAGCCACCCCCAUCACCUGCCCGUGUUUGAUAUGCCACUGGGAAAGCCUUCCAGUAUUUUCUUGAGAUCCAUCAUCAUUUAAAAGCAUAAAAGUAAUGUACAUUUACU
rnacentral:lncRNA from 1 species